UACGUAGGCAGCAAGCGUUGUUCGGAGUUACUGGGCGUAAAGGGUGCGUAGGCGGUUGUUUAAGUUUGGUGUGAAAUCUCCCGGCUCAACCGGGAGGGUGCGCCGAAUACUGAAUGACUAGAGUGCGGGAGAGGAAAGUGGAAUUCCUGGUGUAGCGGUGAAAUGCGUAGAUAUCAGGAGGAACACCGGUGGUGUAGACGGCUUUCUGGACCGUAACUGACGCUGAGGCACGAAAGCGUGGGUAGCAAACAGG
rnacentral:rRNA from 1 species